GACGAACGCUGGCGGCGUGCUUAACACAUGCAAGUCGAGCGGUAAGGCCCUUUCGGGGGUACACGAGCGGCGAACGGGUGAGUAACACGUGGGUGACCUGCCCUCAGCUCUGGGAUAAGCCCGGGAAACUGGGUCUAAUACUGGAUAUGACUCCAUGACGCAUGUUGUGGGGUGGAAAGCCUUGUGCGGCUGAGGAUGGGCCCGCGGCCUAUCAGCUUGUUGGUGGGGNGAUGGCCUACCAAGGCGACGACGGGUAGCCGGCCUGAGAGGGCGACCGGCCACACUGGGACUGAGACACGGCCCAGACUCCUACGGGAGGCAGCAGUGGGGAAUCUUGCGCAAUGGGCGAAAGCCUGACGCAGCAACGCCGCGUGGGGACGAAGGCCU
rnacentral:rRNA from 1 species